UACAUUGAUAGUUUUUAUAGUCUUAUGGAUUAUAUCAUCCCUUCCUACAUGAUUUAUGUGGUUAUCUGAUUAUCCGGUUAUUGGUUAUAAUAAAUUAAAUCACUCUUUUAAAUGUCGUUUAAAUUGAUCAGUGAAUAUGAGAUGAGACGUUGGUUUGCUUUGGUGAUUGUUUGGAGAAUCUAAAUAAAUAAAAGCUUACUAGGCAUCUUGGAAAAGGGUAGAUGGAUCCGGUACAUAUGGAACCCUACUAUGGAUAUUACCUAAAUCGGACGGGGUUGAGAAGUUCCAUAC
rnacentral:lncRNA from 1 species